GCUUACGGCCAUACCACCCUGAGCACGCCCGAUCUCGUCUGAUCUCGGAGGCUAAGCAGGUUCGGGCCUGGUUAGUACUUGGAUGGGAGACUGCCUAGGAAUACCAGGUGCUGUAAGCU
rnacentral:rRNA from 1 species